rnacentral:rRNA from 1 species
UACGUUGGUGGCAAGCGUUGUCCGGAUUUAUUGGGUUUAAAGGGUGCGUAGGCGGCUUUGUAAGUCAGUGGUGAAAUAUCGCAGCUUAACUGUGAGGGUGCCAUUGAUACUGCAGAGCUUGAGUACAGAUGAGGUAGGCGGAAUUGACGGUGUAGCGGUGAAAUGCUUAGAUAUCGUCAAGAACACCUAUAGCGAAGGCAGCUUACUAGGCUGUAACUGACGCUGAGGCACGAAAGCGUGGGUAGCAAACAGG